AGGGGAGACUUGGUGGGAGAAGGUUGGUUUAUUUGCCUGCUGAAUCCUGCAAACUUGAGGCCUAACUGGGGGUAAGGUGUCAGCUGAAGGAGAAGCUGGCUAAGGCCCUACAGCUGGCCUAAAUCACCACCCCAGCUCCGAGGAGAGCUUGUGGGGAAGAAGGGACUCCUGUUUUAAGGAAACAGAAAGGGAGAGAAAAAGGCUGCCUGCUUGAAGUAUAGCCUAGCUGCUACUAGCGAAGCUGGGAAGGGCCUUAGGAAGCUCCUCAGUAACUGCUUGGGAAGAAGCUGUAUGAGGAGACAGCUUUGAGUAUGAAUAGUGGAGUCUGCAGCCUUGUGAGAGACGCUGACAAACAGGUAAAAGGUAGGAGCAGCCCAGGGAAGUGGCAGUGGAUUGGAAUGAGCAGCCCUUAGCUACACAACACAGGGUCCCUGGGCUGGAGCCCAGAAGAGAAGAGGGGCUGAACUGAGAGAAGACCCACCCAGAAGGCUUGGCCAUGGAAGCUGGAGAUUGCUACAGCCCAGGAUGACAGGUGUCCGGCACUAAAGAAGAAGCCCGGCAAUGCCGCAGCAUGGCCCAAAGGGGUGCACUGGUGGGGACAAGUGCAGAGCCUAGAAGAAUGAGCUUUCCUGAGGCGGAACCGCUGGUCACCUCUUUGAUUGGCCUUGAUGUGGGAAUCCAAAAUACCCAUUGGGCAACUGCCAAGGAGAGGAAGAAACUGCAGCUAUAAUGUAAGGAAUCUGUGUGGCCCAGCCAGGCCUCCCUCACCUGGCUCGCUUCCCUCAGCAAUUUGUACUGGGCGAGCUCCCAGAAUCUUCAGCAGCUCUUGUGCCCCAGAUAUCUCGGUGUCGCUGGCUGCUUGGCCAACCCAAAGGUAAGCAGCGGAAGGAGUUUUCAGGACAAAUGCAUCGUUUGAGUUCAGUUCACUGGCAACAGCAUCCAGCUGAAAAGCAACAGCACCAUAGCUAUCAAACAGGUUGGUAGUCUUGCCACUGACAAUUAUAUAAGGACUAUGAUCAGUGCCCCUGGCACUGCUGAACAAAGUUUAACCAUCCACUGUAAAAACAUCAGUGACUAAGGGAUUGUAUAACAAGCAUGAGAAGAUUAAACAGGGGUGGGUGGGUGUGGUAUGUAUGAUGACUUGCAGCCAGAAUAGGUAGGGCUGGGAUCUUGCCAGAUCUCACAAACAGCAGCAGGAUACUUAAGUACUCAGAGGGGAAACCUCCACAGAACAAACUCCAUGCUGCUAGCAUUGGUGAUUCUGUAGUUGGCAUUCUUCCCCUGGGUCAGUAAUGAACCAAUACCCUAGCAUGGAGCUAGGAGGCUGCUGGAGUAUUUAUGACUAAUGAGCAAGAUUUAUUUUUUUUUAUUUAUGUAUUUAUUUAUUUUGCAAGAAUAGGUGAAUGAACCCAAGUCCUGGCUCAAAUUCUAUUUGGAUACAAGAUACUUCUCACUUCCUGCCUUUAGCUGUUAAGUACCAUUGUUGUGGGCUGUUAAACCAACUGCUGCAUCCCAUCUCAGAGGCUGAUGCUCUUCAAAGGUGCAUGAAAGUCUCACUUUAUAUUAGUAUGCAAAGUCCUUUGGGCACUGUGGAGAAAAGCCCUUAACAAUAUAAAAUGGUAUUAAUAAACUCAUGGGAACAGUGUGAUUAUUACUACUUACCCAUGGGAAAAGGGGAAGCUCUCAAUAGCCUAUCGAGACUCUGAAGUUUGUUUCAAUUCAGCACAAGUCCCACAAAGUUUAACGUGGCCUUGCCUUUUCUCUCAGAGGGAAUGUGGUGUGACAAGAUACAAGAUCUUGCAUUCCAACUGCUACGUGUGAACCCAAUGUUUGGGAUUAGCUGGCUUUCCCAUCACGUACCUCUACUGCUCUGGUGGCUCCAGACGUGCUGGACCGGACCUGAAACAGCCGUGUUGCAGCUGGUGCUGUCUGGCCUCCAUCUCUGGAGGUUCCACCCUUGUAGACAAUCAAAGGUUUCCUGCCAAACAUGCUCAUCAGA